UAUUGGUGAUGGGAGUGAUAACCUUU
rnacentral:piRNA from 1 species